rnacentral:lncRNA from 1 species
UGGGGAGCAAGGCCACCCGCGUGUGGAGGCCUCACUUGAGACACACAAGAGAGGGAGGAAGACUUCCACCGGUAUCAGAAGCCGUGGCCUCCGUCACUUCCCCUUGCAGCCCACUGGCCAGAACUGGUCACACGGCCCCGCCCCAUGGCAAGGGGCCUGGCAAGUGCAGGCUUCUGUGUGCUGGAAAAAGGGACCGGUGUCUGGUGGGGGGGCAUUGGUGAUGUCCAGCAUGUCUUCCUAACCACGGAGAUGAUCCGCGGUCACUCCAGAAGUGCGUUUCACACACAACAGCCAC